UACGAAGGGGGCGAGCGUUGUUCGGAAUUACUGGGCGUAAAGGGCGCGCAGGCGGCUCAGACAGUCAGAUGUGAAAGCCCCGGGCUUAACCUGGGAACUGCAUUUGAUACUACUGAGCUUGAGUACGGGAGAGGAUAGUGGAAUUCCCGGUGUAGCAGUGAAAUGCGUAGAGAUCGGGAGGAACACCAGUGGCGAAGGCGGCUACCUGGACCAGCAUUGACACUCAAGCACGAAAGCGUGGGGAGCAAACAGG
rnacentral:rRNA from 1 species